UAACACGAACCGUACGAACGUUAUUCGGAAUUACUGGGCUUAAAGGGUUUGUAGGCGGCCAUGUAAGUCGGGUGUGAAAUCCCUCGGCUCAACCGAGGAAUGGCGCCCGAUACUGCAUGGCUUGAGGGAGACAGGGGUAAGCGGAACUGAUGGUGGAGCGGUGAAAUGCGUUGAUAUCAUCAGGAACACCGGUGGCGAAAGCGGCUUACUGGGUCUCAUCUGACGCUGAGGAACGAAAGCUAGGGGAGCGAACGGGAUUAGAUACCCCGGUAGUCCUAGCUGUAAACGAUGAGCACUUAUCUGGGGAUCCUCCCAUAGGUUCCCGGAUGUAGCGAAAGUGUUAAGUGCUCCGCCUGGGGAGUAUGGUCGCAAGGCUG
rnacentral:rRNA from 1 species